AAGGUAGCAUAAUCAUUUGCUUCUUAAUUAGAAGCCCGUAUGAACGAGAUGACAACCCCUCCUCUUUUUUAAGUUUAAGUUAGAAACUAAUAUCUGUUUUAAAAAGAACAGAUUCCUAGGGGGACGASANGACCCUGUGAAACUUUAUUUGAAAUUUNUUUUUCCAUUUACACCUAAGGUAUAAUAAACACAAAUUAAACUGGGGCGGUAUUAAAAAAACUUUUAAAUCAAAAACAAAUAUAUUUGGCAGUCUAGAUCUUGGCAACAAAAAAUAGAAUAAGUUACUCCAGGGAUAACAGCACAAUUUUUUUGUAUAGAUCUUAUAGAUGAAAAAGACUGUGACCUCGAUGUUGAAUUGAAGCCCCUUGUUUGAGCAGAAACCAACAAAGGAGGUCUGUUCGCCCUUUAAUUCUUCA
rnacentral:rRNA from 1 species